UUCUCUUUCUAGGAUGAGGAUGGAGGAAGUAGGAAUCACAAGUGAAAGAACUAAAGCUCAGCUGCCACCAUCACAGCCUCCUCUCCUACGUGGACUCAUUGCUCCAGCACCAGAUUUCAUUAACCGAAGGGCUACAUUGCAAGGCAGAGCAUGCCCCUGCCAGCCCUGCCUUGGUGAUCACCACCACGGCAAUGAACGAAAGGUCGCUGAAUCAAGGGCCGCGCUUGCUGAAGAGAGUUGCCAGUCAUUUCCUUGUUGACCAAUCCAGCGGGAACUCGCCCAUCCUUGUCUGCUUGACUUCUUGGCAGACUGAUCAUCUUCCCUAGGACUACUCGAGACUCUAGAAAAUUCAGUAGUCCAGUGACCAAGAUGGAGCAGAGUUAGAGGAGGCAGAGGAGAGAGGGAAGACCCAGUCUUCCCAUUAUUCUCAGGAAACCUGAGAAGCUGUCGGUAUUCACUGAUGGAACAGGAUGAAGAAACAGUCCACAGAGGUUCAGCCACUUGCUCCAGGUCCCGCAGGAAGUAGUGAGCAGACUGGAGAUUCACACUGAAGCUGGUGUUCUUCCCACAGCUGCAGAUGUGCAACUGACUUGUCUGCACUCAAGGCUCAGAACCCAGCUUGAAGACUAGAAUUGUGAAGUGCACAUGCUCUGAUUCCCAGGAGAUGUGAUAGCAGAUGUUUCUACAGAUCUUUUGAAGCUUGCUACGAUUGUCUCUCCCCCUUAUGGGGUCUCUUCAUCAAACCUAUUACAGCUGAUGUGAUUCUGUAAUUGCAGGGGCUGAUGGCCACUUGGCUAAUCAGCUUCAGAUUGAGCAGGUUAGGGGGAGGAUCGGGGGGUACAGCCAGCAGGCUGUCCACAGUGCCUCAUUUCUCCAGGAAAAAGAAAUGGAAAUGACUAGCUCACACUUGGAUGCUGCCUCCUUGAGCUGGAUGAUUUGUCCUCUCUUUCCUUCCCUGUCUGUUUUUCAGGGAGGUUCAGAGCUACCUGCUUCUCCCAGAGAGAGAGGGACAGAAUGCCAAAAUAGGGACACAAGAGACAAAAGGCACAGACUGUCCUGGGCAGCCCUCACCCAAUGCCAGCACACUAUGGGUCACAGCUCAGAGCACCAACCCAGGCUUCCCUCCUCCCCAGGGUUCAUAACCCGAGGUGGGUCUACCCUGAAGGCAGUAAGUGAAGCUGAAGAGUCAGGACCCCCACUUGCCCAGAUCCCUUUGAGGCGCUGGGGGAAGCCCUGGCAAUGUGUUCACAUGAGCAAGUCUUUAUCUGUUCAGGCUUCUGUAACAAGUACCAUAGACCAAGUGGCUUAUAAACAAUGAAAUUUAUUUCUUACCUUUCUGGAGGCCAGAAAUCUAAGAUCAGGGUUCCCGUGUGGUUACGGUCUAUUGAGGACCCUCUUCCGGAUUGCAGACUGUCAACUUCUCCUUGUAUCCUCAAGUGGCAGAAAGAGCGCAAGUUAGCUUUCUGGCCUUUUCUUAGAAGGGCACUUACUCUGUUCAUGAAGGCCCCACCCCGAUUACCUGAUUCCCUCUCAAAGGACCCGCCUCCAAAUGCCAUCACAUCAGGGACUCGAUUUCAACAUUUGGAUUUUGAAGGGACUCAGACAUUCAGUCCAAGACAAUGUACUGUUGUAAACCUGCAGUCACCAUCAGUGAAGACGGAUGUCUUCUCAUUUUGGGUGGUGGCUGCCUGGGAGUGGCCCUGGACCUCUCUGGCAUCGGCAAAGGGAACAUUGAGAUGGGGAACAAAUUUGGCUUAGGAUUUAGUGAGAUACAUUUACGUGCCCACAGCCAUUUCUGCACAUAAUCACGAUAUUGCUGGUCAUUCUGCUGUAAGAAUGGCUUCCUGCUGUCGAUUCACUUUGCAGCAUGAUCCACUGCCUAGGGCUUAUUGUGGAAUGAGUAUGUCCUAUAGCAGGUGGUACUGGAGGUCCACAUGUAGUGGAAGAAAACAAAGUUUGAAAUGUACAGAGCCAGGAUUAUAUAAGCAGAAAUGUACAGAAUAAGUAUUUGCAACUGUCUUCCGCCCUUAGAGGAUGCACAUUUGUAAAUGGAAGUAUUAAGUCCUCUCCCAUCAAUACAUAGUUGACAUGAAAGUUCCUUGUCAGAAAUAUACUUGAUAAUUCCACCCAUACAAUCAUAAACACAGCAUAUUUUUGUAUGGGGGUGGGAGUCUUUUUUGAAGGGAAUUGUGGAAAAUAUGGUUUGUCAUAAUCCUCAUGUUUCUAGGGAAAAAACUCCUAACAGCACCACCAAUUAUGAGUAAAGUCAUCACAGUUCACAUGUGAAGUAUGUGUGAUAGAAGACUCACUAUAUUUUGAUUAUGAUCAUAAGCAUUUACAGGACAUCACCAAUAUUGCAUUGUGAGGUUAGUGGAACCUUUGAUAAACUAUUAAUAAAAUUGUUUUGAUUUGAGUAAGUCUAAUUAUCUCCCUAUUCUUCCUGUAGCAUAAUACUACACAAUUUUUAUCACGUGGAGAGUCUUUCAAAGAGUAAGCAGCCCAAAGUUUAGCACAAUCCAUUUAUUGUGGAUAAAUUAAUUAAAAUAUUAUAUUAUUUCUCUGAUGUCAUGAGCUUUGCAUGGACCUUUUUUUUUGACGUUUUUAAUUCCAUUUUAAACCUAAUUUUGUAUUCCUUUUCUUAAAGAGGGCCCAAAAUAGGUAAGAGGUGAAAGGGAUAGAGAGGUCCAAACUUUUAAUUAUAAAAAAAUUAAGUCAUGGGGAUGCAAAGUACAGCAGGGGAAAUAUAGUCAAUAAUAUUAUAACUUGCGUGGUGACAGAUGGAAACUACAGUUACUGGGGUGAGCAUUUCAUGAAGUAUAAAACUGUCAAAUCACUAUAUUGUAUACCUGAAACUAAUAUAAUAUUGUAUAUCAACUAUACGUCAAUAAAAAAAUAAGUAAAUAAAUAAUAAAUACAAUCUUAA